rnacentral:rRNA from 1 species
UGGGCAACCUGCCCCUCCCUCUGGGAUAACCCCGGGAAACCCGGAGCUAAUACCGGAUACUCCGGCUGGAUCGCAUGGUCCGGCCGGGAAAGGUCCGCCGGAGAGGGAUGGGCCCGCGGCCUAUCAGCUUGUUGGUGGGGUCAUGGCUCACCAAGGCGACGACGGGUAGCUGGUCUGAGAGGACGACCAGCCACACUGGAACUGAGACACGGUCCAGACUCCGUACGGGAGGCA